GACGAACGCUGGCGGCGUGCCUAACACAUGCAAGUCGAACGGGGCACCUUCGGGUGCUUAGUGGCGAACGGGUGAGUAACGCGUGAGAAACCUGCCUUUCAGCGGGGGACAACAGUUGGAAACGACUGCUAAUACCGCAUAAUGUUAUUUGAGGGCAUCCUCGAAUAACCAAAGCUUUAUGUGCUGAAAGAUGGUCUCGCGUCUGAUUAGCUAGAUGGCGGGGUAACGGCCCACCAUGGCGACGAUCAGUAGCCGGUCUGAGAGGAUGAACGGCCACAUUGGGACUGAGAUACGGCCCAGACUCCUACGGGAGGCAGCAGUGGGGAAUAUUGGGCAAUGGGGGAAACCCUGACCCAGCAACGCCGCGUGAAGGAAGAAGGCCUUCGGGUUGUAAACUUCUUUUACCAGGGACGAAGAACGUGACGGUACCUGGAGAAAAAGCAACGGCUAACUACGUGCCAGCAGCCGCGGUAAUAC
rnacentral:rRNA from 1 species